GCCAUCAAUGUCUGGUUUAGUAUGUGAGGCUACAGUUACAGCAUGCUCCACUAGUUCUGUCAGAGGUCUCCCCAAGGAAUGUCUCUUUCCACAGAGCGCUGAGAUCUACUUCCUGACGGACACAAACACACUCCUGUGCGGCUGCCAGCCACCGCUGGCUGGGACUCCUCCAUGCAGCGAGUUUCAGACCUGGGCCUCUGGCACCUUCACCGUGCUCACCCAGAUCACAGAGAUCACAUGUUACAAACCCGUUCAAGACUUCACACUAUUGAUAGGCUCUGCUUUUGCACAGAGGAGAUCAUCCAGUUAGAAAUAAAGACAGUAAACAACUAACGCGCUGACUUGGUGCGCCUGAGUUGCCGAGUACCCGGGGAUGUCUUUGUGCUCCUUUGUAUUUCUGAUGUGGUUAUUUAAUUACCACGCUCGCUGUGAAGAGGCAGCUAAGUGUCACAGAAGACUAAUAUACAUGGAGUCUAGACGUGCGCAGGCUGAAACCAGAGGCUUCAGUUUCUCACUUCUCAGCGAUACGGGAGUUUCUGUUUCUGAAAGUAUU
ensembl:lncRNA